CAGAGACGCGAGGAAAAUCAGCAAUGAGGAAGUUGUGGCUUCAUUUGAAAAAGGAAAAUAGUUGACUGAACUGUAAAUGGAUACUGUAAGUGAAGUGCAAAGUUUCCUUUGUGCGGACUUUCCCCUUUUGAGAUAACACAAUAGGCAGAAGUGAUAAGGAGAAGGCCACAUCUGGAGUCCUCAACUGCAUGCAUUAUUUCAUCAUCAUGCAGAAAAUGGUGACCAUGCAAGUGGGAUUUCAGUUUGGGAAACAGAAGUCAGACGGUGCAGGUCGGGGCUGGCAUGCUUGGUUGUCCAGGUGAUGGCUACCAUGGAGACAGAGGGCCUGACCGGUCUUGGCCCACUCUAUUACACCAACUGUGCCAACUUACCGUCAACUGGACACUAAACGACGGCGACACGUACGCCCCUCUCCUCUGCUGUGUACUGUGGGCACAUGUGCUCAAACCUGAGAAAAGAU
ensembl:lncRNA